rnacentral:rRNA from 1 species
GACGAACGCUGGCGGCGGGCUUAACACAUGCAAGUCGAACGGAAAGGCCCUGCUUUUGUGGGGUGCUCGAGUGGCGAACGGGUGAGUAACACGUGAGUAACCUGCCCUUGACUUUGGGAUAACUUCAGGAAACUGGGGCUAAUACCGGAUAGGAUCUCCUGCUGCAUGGUGGGGGUUGGAAAGUUUCGGCGGUUGGGGAUGGACGCGCGUCUGAUCAGCUUGUUGGUGGGGUAGUGUCUUAGCAAGGCUUUGACGGGUGGCCGGGCGGAGAGGGUGACCGACUGCGACUGAACUGAGACCCAGACUAAUACGGGACGCAGGACUGCGGAAGAUUACACAGUGGGAGGAAGGAUGGCGCAGCACAGCCGCGCGGGGGAUAACGGCCAUGGGGUAGGAAUCCACUUUCGUCUGUGCGGAGGCGUGAGUGACGGUAAUGGGUGAAGAAGCACCGGCUAACUACGUG